AGCGGCGCUGGGUGGUUCCCGCCGUGGGCCAGCUUCCCCCUGGGCUCCGGCUUCCCCCGGGCCCGCCGCCUUCUCCAGCCUCUUCCCCCGCCUCCUCCCGGCCGGGCCCACCACCUCUUCCGGCCGAGCCCGUGGCUCUGGCCGGGCCCACCGCCUCCCGGGCCCGCCGCCUCCUCGCCCGGCUUCCCCCACCGCCUCCUCGCUGCGCCGCGCCCGGCCCGGCGCCUCGGCUCCUCGGCCUCUCCCCGUCGCUGCCGGGCCAGGCCCACCAGCGGCCAUGGCCGCCGCCUCUGCAACGAACCUUCCACUCCCGCUCAGCCAAUGAGAGGCUGCGCGCGCCACGCAUGCACAGAACACCUCCCAGAGACACGGAUGCAGGACACGGACGCAGUGACCUCCGCUCAACCUACAGAUGAAUAGAUUCAUCCACUCGAUGGAGAAGAUGGGGAUCCAACCCUAGAUACAGUGAGCCGAGAACCAUGGAUGACAUGGCCAGGGCAGGCCAACUAGGAUGAUUGGGGCUCGCAGCUCACAAACCCUGCAAAUGAUGUGAUUGGAUACACUCCCUAUCACUGAGGAGAAUCACCAUUCAGGUUUCCUCGCCUUUCCCAGCCUCCAAGAACAGGCACCGCCGAUUCUGUGCAGGGUCAGGUUCCUCCCGGCCAUCAUAUUGUCUGUUGCUCGGUUGAGUAAAGGCCCCGUGCUGUCAUGAGCCGGGAGGGCCCGGCACCUCCAAAUUAUUCAGAAAGGUGAAAACCAGAACAAAUUGCACAGAGCUCCAAAAGGAUCUUUUCAAACUAGGUGAAUAGGCAGCAACAUGGUAAAUGUUUAAUGUAAGUAGGUAUAAACUGAUGCAAAUUGGGGUAAAAAAAUCCUAAUUUCAUGUGUACGCUGAUGGGGGUGUGAAUUGGCAGUGAAUAAUGAGGAGUGCGAUCUUGGGGUUAGCUGCACUUACUGUUGCCUGCCAGAUCCUUCCAGCCUCCUCUCAUUAGUUACUGGUGUAAUGAUUGUAUAAACUUUAUAUUUUUAUAACCUGCUCUAAGAACUAUGGCAGAAAAGCAUCCUAUACAUCUUUAAAAAUAAAUAAAUAGUUAUGCCAACUGAAUUCUGCAUUGGCACAUUGUUGAUAAAAUUCUUAACAGAUUAAUGUCUUUACAUUUUGUUCCAGGCAGCAUGCUUUGUGAGCAUUGUGGAUUUAGAGCACUUCCAGACAUGCUUCUUGUGGCACCACACUGUUGCUUUUGCACUACUUCCGCACUGCAGGAAAUAUCACAUGUUUUUAGGACAUAGAUUAAUCCUCCCUCUUUUAGCCUGAUUCUGUUGCAAUCGGUUGCAUCUGGGCAUGUGCUUCUCAAAAAAUGACGGAACAGUAACACUAAUAGUCUGCACAUGCAGUCACUGUGCAGAUCUGUACCAUUGUUCUCAAAAAAGUGAUAUUUUCUCUGUUAAUAAAAGCGGCAUUUAAGCUCAGGAAAAGUACAGGUUGACAAUAGAUGGAUGAUUAUGUUGUGUGAACCCUCUGUAAAGGUGUGAAAGUCCCAGGCUAAACAUCCUGUUUGGAAGUACCCUUAUUUUCAUUACAUACAUCCUUUAACCUUUUGUGAUGAAUGGGAGGUUCUAUGUAUUUUGGAGAGAAGAGGGUUGGGUUGUUGUUUUUUAAAGUAGGUGUGGUAUGAAAAACUUAACCAGAAAAAAAGAACUUUAAAGGACAUCUCAGACUCUAAGAGUUGCUAAAUAGGUGGGUAUGGACAAAAUCAGAAACAGUUGCUAAAAUAUGAUACAGCCACUGGGUGUGCUAUCGUUCCACUCUAUGCCUCACACACAUCUUAAAUGAAAACAGGUAGACUUGUUUUAUGUUGUAUGCACAAGGGAUUUACAAUCUGGAAAUGGUCCAGCUAUGUGAAUGUACAAAUCAUUUCUGUUGGGAUCUCAUGACAUGUCCCUCAAACAAUUAUUGAAGUAUUAGCUUCAAAUUAUGCAGUUGUCGGUGGGCGGGGGCAGGGGGACCACAGACUUUUUACAUGUAGAAUUUAUAACGUUCUACAUUUUUAUUCUGGUUCAACAUCCCUAAAUGUUAACAUUUUCAAAAUUCUUUUUGAGAGAAGAAGGCCUGUGGCUGCAAUACUGACCAGUGAGGGACAUACCAGUGCAGUGAGGCACCAGAUGUCCCUUCCUUGAUGUUGCCACAAUUCAUGUUAUAUUAUAUUGUUUAUUUAACAUGCUGGUAUUGAAUAAAAGUCUUAAUC